UACGUAGGGGGCUAGCGUUGUCCGGAAUCAUUGGGCGUAAAGCGCGUGUAGGCGGCCCGGUAAGUCCGCUGUGAAAGUCGGGGGCUCAACCCUCGAAUGCCGGUGGAUACUGUCGGGCUCGAGUACGGGAGAGGCGAGUGGAAUUCCUGGUGUAGCGGUGAAAUGCGCAGAUAUCAGGAGGAACACCGAUUGCGAAGGCAGCUCGCUGGAACGUUACUGACGCUGAGACGCGAAAGCGUGGGGAGCAAACAGG
rnacentral:rRNA from 1 species